rnacentral:rRNA from 1 species
ACACCGGCAGCUCAAGUGGUAGCCGCUUUUAUUGGGCCUAAAGCGUCCGUAGCCGGUCUGAUAAGUCUCUGGUGAAAUCCCACAGCUUAACUGUGGGAAUUGCUGGAGAUACUAUCAUGACUCGAGGUCGGGAGAGGCUGGAGGUACUCCCAGGGUAGGGGUGAAAUCCUGUAAUCCUGGGAGGACCACCUGUGGCGAAGGCGUCCAGCUGGAACGAACCUGACGGUGAGGGACGAAAGCCAGGGGCGCGAACCGGAUUAGAUACCCGGGUGGUCCUGGCCGUAAACGAUGUGGACUUGGUGUUGGGAUGGCUUCGAGCUGCCCCAGUGCCGAAGGGAAGCUGUUAAGUCCACCGCCUGGGAAGUACGGCCGCAAGGCUGAA